rnacentral:rRNA from 1 species
AAAUGAAUAGACGGGGACCCGCACAAGCAGUGGAGUAUGUUGAUUAAUUCGACGCAACGCGAAGAACCUUACCAGGGUUUGACAUCUAGCGAAUCCUGUGGAAACACGGGAGUGCCCUUCGGGGAGCGCUAAGACAGGUGGUGCAUGGUUGUCGUCAGCUCGUGUCGUGAGAUGUUGGGUUAAGUCCCGCAACGAGCGCAACCCCUAUUGUUAGUUGCUACGCAAGAGCACUCUAGCGAGACUGCCGUUGACAAAACGGAGGAAGGUGGGGACGACGUCAAAUCAUCAUGCCCUUUAUAUCCUGGGCUUCAAACGUACUACAAUGGUGGCCAUACAGCGCGAGGCAAAGUAGUGAUACGGAGCGAAUCGCCAAAAGCCAUCUCAGUUCGGAUUGCAGGCUGCAACUCGCCUGCAUGAAGUAGGAAUUGCUAGUAAUCGCGGAUCAGAAUGCCGCGGUGAAUACGUUCCCGGGUCUUGUACACACCGCCCGU